UGUUAAAAAUUCUAUCUAUUUGUACUGUUAAAACUGAUGAAACUGAUAAAAUAACCAAAUAAUGAUAUGUCGUAUGUCAUGUGUACCUCAUGCUGAUGUACGAGGACUAAUUUUUAACGAUAGAAAUGGAUGAAAUUUUUAACA
rfam:Gossypium arboreum cultivar AKA8401 contig_5853_3, whole genome shotgun sequence.